CCUACGGGUGGCAGCAGUGGGGAAUAUUGGGCAAUGGGCGCUAGCCUGAACCAGCCAAGUCGCGUGAAGGAAGAAGGCCCUCGGGUUGUUAAACUUCUUUGAUAGGGAAGAGUAGAAGACGGUAUCUGCCGAAUAAGACACGGCUAACUACGUGCCAGCAGCCGCGGUAAUACGGAGGUGGCCAGCGUUGUCCGGAUUUCCUGGGUGUAAAGGGCGUGUAGGCGGGUUGACAAGUCAGAUGUGAAUGCCUGCGGCUUAACCGCAGAACUGCAGUUGAAACUGGUGAUCUUGAGUACAGUAGAGGCAGGCGGAAUUCCUAGUGUAGCGGUGAAAUGCGUAGAUAUUAGGAGGAACUCCGGUUGCGAAGGCAGUCUGCUGGACAGCAACUGACGCUGAGGCGCGAAAGCGUGGGGAGCAAACAGGAUUAGAUACCCCGGUAGUC
rnacentral:rRNA from 1 species